GAUAAAGUAAGAAAAGGAAAGAGAUAAAUAUCGUGGAGUGAAAAGAGAUAAGUUACAUAUGGUAACGUUAAAAAGACGGUAGUGACUUGACCUCACUAAAAAUAUUGUUAUUUUUGCUAUAAAACUUAAUUUUGUAAAAAUAUUGUUAUUAAGCUUAAUUAUGAACACAAGUUUGCUACACAUUUUUUUCCUUAGAUUUAAAGCAAGUGCUUAAUCGUUUAUUUUAGCUUAAAAUAAAUUAACAAAUCCAAACAGACUCUUAUAGUAACACUUUGUCCAUACACUGCCUACUGUUGGUCUCCCUAUCUCAUGAAGCGUCCCCUCUGUAUGUUUGUCCUUUCGAUUACUCGAUGGGCUUAGUCUCCACUAAGCAUAUAUCUGCACAUGUAAGUAAUCCUUGAAGUAUGUUGGAGUUACUUAGUUUAGUUACGAAAACAGUGUAAAUAUAUUGUUGUUCUUGUAUGUGUAUUAAAGGAUCAGUUUAGUAUUUGGGCCAGUUGUAGAGCAGUAGCCCAUUUUUUUUUCCGGAUUGUUGGCUCAUUCAUGUAUAAAGUAGAUCACUGGAUCCUUCCAAGAGACAAUAGAAAAAGAUUUUUUUCUAAUUCACAUUUUUUCUCUCUCUUCUCUUUAUCUCAUCUCUCUCGAAGCUUCUGUUAAGAUUUACUUCUUCAGCUAAUCUGUAACGAUCUCGAUAGUUUGAUAUAGUAUCAGAGCAGAGAUCCAUGGUGGUCGUUGGAUUUUGCAUCUUUCGAUGGUACCCUUGUGGUAUUUUAUGGAGUAUUUUCUAAUCUACGGUGUUUGCUCGUUCAUUGGAUUUUUGAUCUUCGGGGCAUAGUAUUCUAUCGUGUUUGGUUUGUACUGGAUUUCUCUUGUUACGCCAAGGUUGUUGCCGUUUUCAAUUGUAAAAACAGGGGUAUUUUGUGACAACCAAGCUGCUAUCCACAUUGCUCGGAACCCUGUAUUUCAUGAGCGAACUAAACAUAUCGAGGUGGACUGCCAUUUUAUUCGUACGAAGUUGUCUGAUGAUUUGAUUGAAUUGCUUCAUGUCCCUACAGGUUCUCAACUGGCCGAUAUUUUCACUAAGCCGCUUACUGACAUUAUUCAUCAUCCUCUUUUGCUCAAGUUGGGUGUUCAGGCCCCCUCCAACUUGUGGGGGGUGUUGGAGUUAAUUAGUUUAGUUAUGAAAACAGUGUAAAUAUAUUGUUGUUCUUGUAUGUGUAUUAAAGGAUCAGUUUAGUAUUUGGACCAGUUGUAGAGCAGUAGCCUAUUUUUCUUUUCAGGGUUGUUGGCCCAUUCAUGUAUAAAGUGGAUCACUGGAUCCUUCCAAGAGACAACAGAAAAAAGAUUUUUUCCUAAUUCACAUUUUUUUUCUCUCUUUUCUUUA